rnacentral:misc_RNA from 1 species
AAGUCGUAACAAGGUUUCCGUAGGUGAACCUGCGGAAGGAUCAUUAUCACAAAUGAUUUUAACUCUCUUAAUCCAGAGUUAACCUCUUCUUAAACCAAUCUAACAAAAUGUGAAAUCGUUUUAUAUGUAUAUAUAUUUUUAUAUUCUCGCAAGAGAAUAUAUAUAUAUGUAUAUAUGUUAUUAACCAAUUGAACCUUUUUCUAUAUUGUUAUUUUAAUUAAAUUUAGUACUGAACUAUAUAUAUUGUUAUUCAAUAACAAUAUUAUAAUACAUUACGAAACAAUUUAAAUAAAACAACUCUUAGCAACGGAUAUCUUGGUUCUC